rnacentral:rRNA from 1 species
AUAUACUUUGCUGUAUAUGGAGGUAGGAGAGCAUUCUAUGGGGGGCGAAGCUGUCCAGUGAUGGGCGGUGGACCUUAUAGAAAAGAAAAUGUAGGCAUGAGUAACGACAGGCGGGUUAGAUUCCCGCCCACCGAAAGACUAAGGUUUCCUGAUCAACGUUCGUCGUAUCAGGGUUAGUCGGUUCCUAAGGUUUACCCGGUUUACCGGGGACGCCGAUGGCAGACGGGUUAAUAUUCCCGUACAUAUAUCAGCUGCGAUGCAGCGACGGAGAAGUGACACCGGCGCGGACUGACGGAACAGUUCGUUUAAGGAUGUAGGUUUACGCUGGCCAGUUAAGUACGGUCAGUGUGCUGAAUUCUGAAAGUACAGCAAAGCUUCGGCGGCGCUGAUAGUCCGGGUAAUCCUGCUUCCGAGAAAACCUGCUAAGCUUCAGGCUGGUAUAUACCGUACCUUAAACCGACACAGGUAGUCGGGGUGAGAAUCCUAAGGUGUUCGAGCUAAUCAUGGCCAAGGAACUCGGCAAAAUUGUCCUGUAACUUAGGGAGAAGGGACGCUUCCUUUACGUAGCUUGCUAUGUAGAGAAGCCGCAGUGACACGGCCCAGACGACUGUUUAACAAAAACACAUGGCUUUGCCAAAUCGUGAGAUGAAGUAUAAGG